rnacentral:misc_RNA from 1 species
AAAAACUAGUUUGGCGUACAUUUGAGUUGUGAGGCUGCAGAAGACGGUAGCUAAACACCAAUGGCGGGAACCAUGUUUUCCAAACGUCUUAUUCUAGGCGUGUUUUCUCGAGGCUUUUCACAGAAGGCAAUUUCUCUGAAAAUGACGCCUCAUGACUACCCAAUUGUAAAAGGAUCGGAAUACUGGAGGAGAAAAUUGCGCACUUUCUUUAAGGCGAUGGAUGCAACCAGAGACGGAUAUAUAACAAAGGAAGAUUAUGAAUUCAGUGCAUAUCGUCUGGCAAGUUAUAUGGGCCUCGAUGAAACAAAGGCAAAGGAGGUGCUGAAACUUCGCAUAGAAGUGUGGGAAGCAUUUAGCAAAGAUCCAAAGAAUUCUGAAGUGUACAAGAUAUCCGAAGACGAGUUCAUAUCCAACUACCUUGAUGUCAUCAAUACCAGUUUCCGUGACGCGCUUGUAGAUUUUGCCAGUCGUGAAUUCGAUGUUUAUGAUCUUGACGAAGACGGUUUCAUAUCAUCAAAGGAGCACAAAGCGUUUUUCUACAGUUGGAGAAUUCCGACGGAUUACUCGGCAGACACAUUUAAGGCACUGGAUACCGAUGGCGAUGGCUUGAUAAGCAGAGAUGAAUACAUCCAAGGCGCGGCUGAUUUCAUGUUUAGCGAAGAUGAAAACAGCCCUUACAAAAAUUUCCUGGGACCACUGUUAGAAUAGGAAAAUCACGAAACUUAGAAUCAGAGGUUUAAAACACCCCUGGUAUAGUAAACUUGAGGGCAAAUGCAAGCUAAAAAAAUGCAAGCGAAAACUAUUCUCUGAAAUGAAUUAACAUGAUUGACCAUGCAUCUAAUGUACAGGAGCACAUGGGAUGGUGAAUAUAACACAACAAAAACAAAGUUUGUGCUUUAAAAGUGUUUACUUUUUAUUGCACGAAUAUUAAUAUAUAUAUAUACUUAAAAAAAACUGGGAAAACUAUUUUUUAAAAGAUUCACAUAUAACAACGCAUUUAAUUUACCAUAAUGGAGAUAUUACUCUUGCCAUCGUCGUAAAAAUGUAAUUGCUGACCUGAAGCUGACAUGUUUUGUAUUUUUUAAUUUGUACUUUAUUUGUGACAUUACUACAUGUUUUGCACUCAUUACAGACAUCUCACGAUAACCCGAUUUUUAAGGGCUCGGAAUACUGGAUGGAGAAAUUCUUUCGGACAAAUUUAGGCGCGUUGCCAGCUAUGUGAACUUAAGUGGUAAGGUUUGGCAUGCAUUGAUGAUUGAAUUGCGUAUUUGCACUAUCAAAAUAACUUAUGGCAGUUAAUACAAACGAUUAUGAUCUUGACGGCGACGGUUUAUCUCCCCAAAGGAUCAUGGAGUGAUCAUGAAAACAAUUUGUUAUUUUGUCCCAACUGAUUCGUGUAAGAAAGGUCUUGAUUAUGAGAAGCUAAGAAAAUCAAAGCCCAUAAAUCAAAACAUAUAUCGGUACAGCUCCAUUCAAAAACUGUUGUUCAAGCAUACACCAAGGGAAGACGAAGACACAAACUCCCAUGACGUAUGUGGAUAAAAAACACAAAAAAUUGGACAGGAACAACAACCAGCAACUGUGCAGAGACAUCACGUGACCGAAGGGCUUGAGGUUCCGUUUGGGUCGAGCGUGAUUUUCGUUUAAUCAAAUUAUAAAUUCUGGAAGCUGUUGCUAAAGCUAUGAUUUUUAUGCUCAUUUCGUCAUCUCCAUCGUUUGGGCCAAGCACGGCGCCUGAUCGAUCAACCAUUUAUGCCUUUUGUUUAGACAAAUGGUAUAUUCUGGAAGCUGUUGCGAUAGGAAUGUUUUUUUUUUGUUCUAAGGGAUACUAUAAUAUAGUAAGUCACCAGAGAGUGACACAGCAAACUACAUGAAGACAUUUAUUUUAGUACACUGCAUCAGAUGUGCCUGUAGCAAUGUGAGGUCAUAUUAAACUUUCAGGUACUAUCAACAAUCUGCCUUGCUACACAGACAUUCCGUCACGUACAGAUACAUUAUGCCUGUUGACAGAUAAGGUGAAAAGGAUGUUGUAUUUAUAUAACCUGGAUAUUAUAUACCCACAUCACAUCAAGGUUUACCUUUAGUUGUCAUAAAAUUAUGUCAAAAAACCAUUGUGGUUUAGUUUGGCGUACAUUCGAGUUGUGAGGCUACAGCAGACGACAGCUAGACACCAAUGGCGGGAAUCACUUUUUCCAAACGUUUUAUUCUAAGCGUGUUUUCUCGAGGUUUUACAAAGAAGGCAAUUUCACCGAAAAUGACGCUUCAUGACUACCCAAAUGUUGAGGGAUCGGAAUACUGGAGGAGAAAAAUGCGCACUUUCUUUAAGGCGAUGGAUUCAACCAGAGACGGAUAUAUAACAAAGGAAGAAUAUAAAAUGAGUGCCCAUCGCCUUGCAAGUUAUUUGAACCUCGAUG